GAUGAACGCUAGCUACAGGCUUAACACAUGCAAGUCGAGGGGCAGCAUGGUCUUAGCUUGCUAAGGCCGAUGGCGACCGGCGCACGGGUGAGUAACACGUAUCCAACCUGCCGUCUACUCUUGGACAGCCUUCUGAAAGGAAGAUUAAUACAAGAUGGCAUCAUGAGUCCGCAUGUUCACAUGAUUAAAGGUAUUCCGGUAGACGAUGGGGAUGCGUUCCAUUAGAUAGUAGGCGGGGUAACGGCCCACCUAGUCUUCGAUGGAUAGGGGUUCUGAGAGGAAGGUCCCCCACAUUGGAACUGAGACACGGUCCAAACUCCUACGGGAGGCAGCAGUGAGGAAUAUUGGUCAAUGGGCGAGAGCCUGAACCAGCCAAGUAGCGUGAAGGAUGACUGCCCUAUGGGUUGUAAACCUCUUUUAUAAAGGAAUAAAGUCGGGUAUGGAUACCCGUUUGCAUGUACUUUAUGAAUAAGGAUCGGCUAACUCCGUG
rnacentral:rRNA from 1 species